CUCUCUGCGGUGCAAUGGGUCAGUGUAGCUGGCUGUUAACCAGAAGGUUGGUGGUUUGAACCCACCCAGGGAUG